AACUGUACAACAGGCUUAUCAUGUUGAUUUAGGUUUACAGGGACAAGAUUUUCAGGAAUGUUUGCAUGAGGGGGACUCUGUGAUGGUGGUUAUCGAACCUUUACCGCCUGCUGCUGUGGAGGUUGUUCCAAAUGUGACAUCUGAAGGUACCCUACCCUUAGUUUCUGGUCUAAAUUCGCCGUCUAGUGAGGUCUCUACUAUGGGGGCACAGGGCGUACGGAGAUCGACUAGGACAACAGCUGGGAAACAUUCUAAUCGUUAUCAUUUGCCCAGGACGGUAAUUGGUGAUGUAUCCGCUAGCAUUUCAUUGCCUGCGGAGAACUCCCUCCCGGGACCGGGAAGGGAUUGUCAUUUCCGCCCUUGGCUGUAAAAGGUUGAAUCAUUGGGACAAUGAUUGAAAAUCCCGGGGUAGAUUGUAGUGGGAUUGCCCCUUUAAUAAUAGCUGGCGUAGCCCUUUAAAAGAGCAGACAGAUUGCACCAGGUGCGUGGUUGCGUACGUCAGGUAAUCACGUAGCUAUAUAGGCUCAGGUGAGUUCGCUUUCUUUGUGCCAUUGUACUGAUGUGACCUGUUGCUGUAGGUCUUGUGUCUCCUUCACUCCUUGGUAAAGAUUAGUUGGGUAUAUCCAGGCAUCCGCGGUGAGUAUGUGAGUGUUAUACACGCAAAAGAGUGCCAGUUGCUGCUUUGCUGCGGUUAAAUCAUCGUUCCCGUUUGAGAAGCGGGUUUGCAGUGCACGCUCGUGGUUGUAUCGAGCGCCUGCAAGUUCAUUGAACAUUGUUAAUGCCUGUACGAUCCCCAUGGUGAAGCCGCUCUAAACCUGUAACUUGAUUUCGGGAUUGCAUGGUGUUCGCCACCUCGCUGGCGCAAUUUUAUGUAUGGUUUAACUUUAGUUAUUUAGUAAUCUGGGGUUAUUGUAUUUGGGUUGCUGCCUGCAUAUUGACAUCGCUCACUUACGGAGCAGAUUAACGGUGACGCAAUCCUUUUGAUUUUUAUUUAUUUGCCGAUUGUUUAACUGAAAUUGUGUGUUUGUUUGUUUCUUUAUUUGUUUUCGGUUUUGUUGUAAUCAUUAGCUCUUACCAUUUAGGUUGUUUUUGAAUUGAUUUAGUAUUUUGAUU